rnacentral:rRNA from 1 species
GAAUGCUGACAUAAGUAACGAUAAAGCGGGUGAAAAGCCCGCUCGCCGGAAGACCAAGGGUUCCUGUCCAACGUUAAUCGGGGCAGGGUGAGUCGACCCCUAAGGCGAGGCCGAAAGGCGUAGUCGAUGGGAAACAGGUUAAUAUUCCUGUACUUGGUGUUACUGCGAAGGGGGGACGGAGAAGGCUAUGUUGGCCGGGCGACGGUUGUCCCGGUUUAAGCGUGUAGGCUGAUUUUCCAGGCAAAUCCGGAAAAUCAAGGCUGAGGCGUGAUGACGAGGCACUACGGUGCUGAAGCGACAAAUGCCCUGCUUCCAGGAAAAGCCUCUAAGCAUCAGGUAACAUCAAAUCGUACCCCAAACCGACACAGGUGGUCAGGUAGAGAAUACCAAGGCGCUUGAGAGAACUCGGGUGAAGGAACUAGGCAAAAUGGUGCCGUAACUUCGGGAGAAGGCACGCUGAUAUGUAGGUGAAGCGACUUGCUCGUGGAGCUGAAAUCAGUCGAAGAUACCAGCUGGCUGCAACUGUUUAUUAAAAACACAGCACUGUGCAAACACGAAAGUGGACGUAUACGGUGUGACGCCUGCCCGGUGCCGGAAGGUUAAUUGAUGGGGUUAGCGGCAACGCGAAGCUCUUGAUCGAAGCCCCGGUAAACGGCGGCCGUAACUAUAACGGUCCUAAGGUAGCGAAAUUCCUUGUCGGGUAAGUUCCGACCUGCACGAAUGGCGUAAUGAUGGCCAGGCUGUCUCCACCCGAGACUCAGUGAAAUUGAACUCGCUGUGAAGAUGCAGUGUACCCGCGGCAAGACGGAAAGACCCCGUGAACCUUUACUAUAGCUUGACACUGAACAUUGAGCCUUGAUGUGUAGGAUAGGUGGGAGGCUUUGAAGUGUGGACGCCAGUCUGCAUGGAGCCGACCUUGAAAUACCACCCUUUAAUGUUUGAUGUUCUAACGUUGGCCCGUAAUCCGGGUUGCGGACAGUGUCUGGUGGGUAGUUUGACUGGGGCGGUCUCCUCCUAAAGAGUAACGGAGGAGCACGAAGGUUGGCUAAUCCUGGUCGGACAUCAGGAGGUUAGUGCAAUGGCAUAAGCCAGCUUGACUGCGAGCGUGACGGCGCGAGCAGGUGCGAAAGCAGGUCAUAGUGAUCCGGUGGUUCUGAAUGGAAGGGCCAUCGCUCAACGGAUAAAAGGUACUCCGGGGAUAACAGGCUGAUACCGCCCAAGAGUUCAUAUCGACGGCGGUGUUUGGCACCUCGAUGUCGGCUCAUCACAUCCUGGGGCUGAAGUAGGUCCCAAGGGUAUGGCUGUUCGCCAUUUAAAGUGGUACGCGAGCUGGGUUUAGAACGUCGUGAGACAGUUCGGUCCCUAUCUGCCGUGGGCGCUGGAGAACUGAGGGGGGCUGCUCCUAGUACGAGAGGACCGGAGUGGACGCAUCACUGGUGUUCGGGUUGUCAUGCCAAUGGCACUGCCCGGUAGCUAAAUGCGGAAGAGAUAAGUGCUGAAAGCAUCUAAGCACGAAACUUGCCCCGAGAUGAGUUCUCCCUGACUCCUUGAGAGUCCUGAAGGAACGUUGAAGACGACGACGUUGAUAGGCCGGGUGUGUAAGCGCAGCGAUGCGUUGAGCUAACCGGUACUAAUGAACCGUGAGGCUUAACCUUACAACGCCGAAG